GUUCCAUCGGCCCCGCCCCCAGCGACUGCUGCUCCGGAUUUGUUGUUGACAUCGCCAAAAAUGUUCCAAGCGACAGAAAAGCGGAUUAUUUGAAACGACUGCUGCUCCGGAUUUGUUGUUGACAUCGCCAAAAAUGUUCCAAGCGACAGAAAAGCGGAUUAUUUGAAAGUUUUUCAGUUCAACUAACUAAUUAACUUUACCUGCGGGGCGCGCGACAACGGAGCAGAGUGAACCAGGACUGCAAACCUGCUCCAUCUUCUCGUCUCUGGAGAUUUCCAUUUACAAAAUGUCUGUGAAGGUUCUCAGUCAUCCAGGUCAUCGUAGUCAAAGGAGUUUGCAAAGAAAGGCGUCUGGACUUCUUUAAGUUGCUUGAAGACGUUUCACCUCUCAUCCGAGAAGCUUCUCCUCAGUGACAACAACACCUACGAAGCUUUAAAACGAGACCCCACAAGCAGCUACAAAAAGAAAGUUAUAGCUUGCCUUCAAGACCUUGAAAAGGACAAAAUCAUUGACCGCCUCACAUAUCACCGCCUUUAUCCAGGGGAUGCCAUACCCUGCAUUUAUGGACUUCCUAAGAUCCACAAGGAAGGGGUCCCACUCAGACCCAUAGUCAGUAGCAUAAACUCAGCCACUUAUAACAUUGCAAAACACCUUGCUACCAUCCUUGCACCUCUCGUGGGGAACACCCACACCCACAUCAAGAACUCCACUGACUUCACCGACAAGGUCCAGAAACUUACCCUGGAUCCAGAUGAAACCAUGGUGUCCUUUGAUGUAGUCUCUCUCUUCACUUGCAUACCCACCACGGAAGCAGUGGAGACUGUCAGAAAACGACUACAAGAAGACAGCUCCUUGGAAGACAGGACCAACUUCACACCCGAUCAGAUCUGCACACUGUUAGACCUCUGCCUUACCACAACAUACUUCAAAUACAACGAAGGCUUCUACAGACAAAAACAUGGCUGUGCCAUGGGCUCCCCUGUGUCACCUAUUGUAGCCAACCUUUACAUGGAGGAAGUUGAAAGAAAGGCUCUUGGCUCUUUCAAAGGAGGAGCACCCAGCCACUGGUACAGAUAUGUAGAUGACACCUGGGUCAAAAUCAAGACACAAGAAGUGGAAUCCUUCACUGCGCACUUUAACGCCAUGGAUAAAAACAUCAAGUUCACCAGGGAAGACACAAAGGAUAACUGUUUGCCUUUCCUGGACUGCGCUGUGCACAUUGAAGAGAAUGGCAACCUCAACAUUGAAGUUUACCGGAAGCCCACACACACGGACCAGUACCUCCUCUUUGACUCCCAUCACCCUCUGGAACACAAACUUGGAGUAAUUAGGACCCUACACCACCGGGCAGAACUUGUUCCCUCUAAGCCUGAAGAGAAAAAGAAGGAACACACACAUGUAAAGGAAGCACUGAAAACAUGUGGUUAUCCUAACUGGGCGUUCAUAAAGUCAGCAAAGAGGCACAGAAAAGAAGAUCAGACACCAGCGAGGGAGGAUAAGAAAGACAGACGCAACAACAUUGUCAUCCCCUAUGUAGCCGGUGUAUCAGAGAAACUCAGGAGAGUUUUCUCCAAGCAUGACAUCCCAGUGUACUUCAGACCAAGCAACACACUCAGACACAAACUGGUUCACCCGAAAGACAAAACUCCAAAACACAGACUGAACAACGUGGUGUAUGCGGUACAGUGCAGAGAGGAAUGCCCGGACGUCUACAUUGGAGAGACCAAACAGCCACUUCACAAGCGUAUGGCACAACAUAGAAGAGCCACCUCCACAGGACAAGACUCAGCAGUCCAUCUGCAUCUUAAGGAUAAAGGUCACUCUUUCGAGGAUGCCAAUGUUCACAUUUUGGACAGGGAGGACAGAUGGUUUGAAAGAAGAGUGAAAGAGGCCAUCUAUGUCCACUGUGAGCGACCAUCUUUGAACAGAGGCGGUGGUUUACGACACCAACUCUCUGCCAUCUAUAAUCCAGUUUUGAGUUCCCUCCCCAGACGCCUUAACGCCCACUCACAUCCUGGGCCAUCUGACCUCAGGAAUUCACAUGACAAGGUGGGGCCAGGUUUCACAAUGGGCUCACCCGAAACCCUGGCUGAUUAGGUCCCACACCCGCUUUCACACCUUGGCGCAUGUGAUUAGAGGAUCACCAGGGGGUCCUUUGUCCCUCCUUGGGGGGAUACUCCCACUGGGUUUAAAUCUGGGACUCUCGGCCAUUUGACCUUAGAACUGAAGAAGCUUCUCGGAUGAGAGGUGAAACGUCUUCAAGCAACUUAAAGAAGUCCAGACGCCUUUCUUUGCAAACUCCUUUGACUUCCAUUUACAAAGCACCAACAACUCAAAGGAGCUGCCCUCAGAUUCAGACCUCAGCACCACCCAGUGAAAGCAGACAGAUCAUUCAACAUGUUCACGUUAACUCCAAAAUUAACUGAUGAAAGCUGCAGCUGUUUUAUUGAUAAAGUCAAAAGGAUUAAUCACCCCUGUCACUGUCACUAUAUAUCAGCAGUCUGGUGUUUCAGAAAGCUGCUAUCUGAGACCUGUAGAGGUUCUGUUUUAAACACUGAAUGCACUCAGCCACAUGAAGAGCACAUGAGAUUUUCCCUGACACACUUAAAUAAAACCUGAUGAAGGUUAACUAAAAACUGGUGAUCUGGAAUUCUUUCAGUUUUUUUUUUCCUUC
ensembl:lncRNA